rnacentral:rRNA from 1 species
UACGGAGGGUGCGAGCGUUGUCCGGAAUCACUGGGCGUAAAGGGCGCGUAGGGGGCUUUUCAAGCGCGCGGUGAAAGCCCGGGGCUCAACCCCGGGUCGGCCGUGCGGACUGGGAGGCUUGAGCACUGUAGGGGCGGGUGGAAUUCCGGGUGUAGCGGUGGAAUGCGUAGAUAUCGGGAGGAACACCAGUGGCGCAAGCGGCGGCCUGGGUAUGACCUGACACUGAGCCACGACGGCGUGGGGAGCAAACGGG